rnacentral:lncRNA from 1 species
GGGCCCCAGGUCAAGAGUAUCAAUGAAGGGCCAUACUAUAUGUUUAAAUAUUUAAAAAUUAUAAAUCAAGCUAACAAACUGUCAAAUAUACUUUUGUAACUGCCUGGCAAGCUAGCAUUUCUGGACUCUAGAGUUCUGAGCCAUAAGCACAGGGAGAGUGAAGCCCCACCCCCCACCCUCCCCGCUUCUCUUCCUGCCUCUGGCUCUGACCCUUUUUGUGCCGUGAGGAAUAUGCUGCUCAAGCAAGAGGACACCCAGCCUUCAAGUCUGAGCUCAGGCCGCCCUCUUCCCACCCCAUAAACAGCCAUGUCUUGACCACCUGUCGGGCUAUGAGAUGGACCUCAGGGAAGAGGCCUGCAUUGGUGCUGGAAGCAGGAAUUCAAGGGUUCUAGGUACUCAGAUCAUGACACAUCCCCUUGCCCUCAGUGGCUGCCUGCACCAUGGGGAGGAUGCACGACCAGGGGAUGACCCAAGCGGGACCCUCUAAACCAGCGCUUCUCAAACUUUAACCAUGUUCUGAAGGACAAGGAGUCGGCACGCGAGGUUUGGACGGACUCUUUAAGGCCAUCGAGUCGAGUCCCCUCCGCCAACAGCAGACACGAUAUCUUAUUACGCAAUUACACAGCAAUCUCAUGGUUUUCUUGAUUAUUUGCCAUGUUUCUGCCAGCAAUUUCCCCUUCUUCCCUCCACCCCUAGCCUGCAACAAGCAGAAACUAUUAAAAAUAUCUAACUACUGCUAAUAAUUAAUAUUUCAUUUUGAGGACACAAAACCCAAAUUGUGCAGUUAAUGCCCCCUUUUCUGUCCUUCCAAUCUACCAGCAAACGUUUAUUUGGUGCUGCUGUGGCCAAGCAAGAUCAUCUUCUCUUGCUCAGCUGGGUCUUUUUAUUUGAGCUCACAUCUCAUGAUUCACUAGAAAGAAAUUAAGACAACUUUAGAAAACCAGCCUGCAUUAAAUUUCUAAUAGGCAGCAUAUAUGGCUCUUCCCAGCAGAGGACACAACAAUUCAGAGAGUCAGUUGUUAUCUUAUCCUCCUAUAUUCAAAUUAACACAAUACUGGAACGUCCUUUCUGUUUUUAAAAUCAGAUCCUCCAUCCAGGGCAGGCCCUAAACUUUGCUCUUGAAAUUUAGUUCUCAUCGGAUUUAUUCCAUGAACAACAUCCUAAUAAUAUGUCUUCCCAGGAUGUUCUGGAAUAUUGGGCUCUUCCUUUCCCUGCAGUGUCACUCACUGUCCCCUUGGAUGCAGCCCUCUGUCUGUCUUUCUCAGGGUCUACCUGGAGUCCCUCCUCCUUUUGGUCUCACCUACCAAACCUCCCCCUACAGCAGCUUCUGACUUCACUGGGCAGUUGGGUUCCCCCUGGAAACCAGCAUGCAAUCAUACCUGAGGCAUUCACUUCCAGCAGCACCUCCAAGCAUGUUCUGUGAAGUAUUCAUAAAGGGGGGAUGUUCCAUAGUCAAAAAACUUUGAGAAGCUGGGGGCCGGCUCCAUGGUUAAGUUCGCGCGCUCCGCUGUGGCGGCCCAGAGUUCGGAUCCUGGGCACGGACAUGGCACCGCUCAUCAGGCCACGUUGAGGCGGCGUCCCA